AUACGGAGGGUGCAAGCGUUACUCGGAAUCACUGGGCGUAAAGCGCGCGCAGGCGGCUAUUUAAGUUGGAUGUGAAAGCCUAUGGCUCAACCAUAGAACUGCAUCCAAAACUAUUUAGCUAGAGUGUGGGAGAGGAAGAUGGAAUUAGUUGUGUAGGGGUAAAAUCCGUAGAGAUAACUAGGAAUACCAAAAGCGAAGGCAAUCUUCUGGAACACUACUGGCGCUGAGGCGCGAAAGCGUGGGGAGCAAACAGGAUUAGAAACCCUAGUAGUCC
rnacentral:rRNA from 1 species